UACGAAGGGUGCAAGCGUUAAUCGGAAUUACUGGGCGUAAAGGGUGCGUAGGCGGUUCGUUAAGUCUGUCGUGAAAUCCCCGGGCUCAACCUGGGAAUGGCGAUGGAUACUGGCGAGCUAGAGUGUGUCAGAGGAUGGUGGAAUUCCCGGUGUAGCGGUGAAAUGCGUAGAGAUCGGGAGGAACAUCAGUGGCGAAGGCGGCCAUCUGGGAUGAUACUGACGCUCAUGCACGAAAGCGUGGGGAGCAAACAGG
rnacentral:rRNA from 1 species